rnacentral:rRNA from 1 species
UAUCAAACUUAAACUGAAGAGUUUGAUCCUGGCUCAGAUUGAACGCUGGCGGUAUGCUUAACACAUGCAAGUCGAA